GGGCCCGGGGCCUGGAGGCUGUACGCUGAGAGCGCGCAGUUUGGGGCGACCCCAACCCCUCGGGCCUGAGACGGUCCCGCGGGGCCCCACAAGGGAGGGGGCGCGACGCCGAUGGCCCCAGAGGACCCUGCGCUGCGUCUUGCUCUGAACCUCCGUCGCGGACACUUUUAAUCCACAAAAUGAGGCCAAGAACGACCUUUCCCUGGCCACCAGGCAAACUGCAUGAAAGCGAGCGGGCGUUGCCGCUGGCGCCCACGCUGGGUUUUUCCCAGGCGGGGUUCGCCCUGGGAACCGCAGAUCGCUCCAGCACAGCGCCUGCUGCGCCCCUAGUAACAGCGUCAGAGAGUCCGGGGUUCCCCUGAUUGCGGGCCACGCUGACACAGGGCUUCCCACUCCCUGACCUUAGGUUUUCCUGCCUGGGAAAUGGGGGUUAUGAGGGCACAGACUGCUGGAGGGGCUGGGGGAGGCACAAAGGGGAUGAACGUGCGCUGACUCAUGGGCCCAUCUGUGCCACCUGUGGCAGGGGGUGGGCUGGGGGCAGCACAGUGCCCAGAGCCCUGGCCAGAUGCUAGGCGGGCCCCCACCUGUUGUAUGAUUGAAGUGGUUGUUUGGUCUCUGUUUCUCCAUAUGUUCAUUCCUCAGCACUUUGCCCAUCUGGGGGCCUGGGGGUCGAGAGCAUGUGGCGGCCACCCUGGGAGGCCAGGGGAGUUCAUCCUGACCACAGCAUAGUCAGCUUGCGGCAGUAUGGCCACUCUAUUUCCAGAAGGGCAGUGGAAGGAAGGCCAGCUCAGACCCCAGGCUCUGUCCAGUCAGGCUGCCACCGGGACAGGAGGUAGGAGUGAGUGGGCAUGGGCAGGGCAGCAGGAUUGCGCUUGCCCUGAUCCUCCAAACGGGGUCAUCCCAUGAAGGAGGAGCUGUCGUGGGCCCACUUCACAGCAGAGAAACUGAGGCUCAGGCUGUCACUGCCCCAGCUCUGCCUCAGAGGGGAUCUGCAGGACAGGGUCUGGCACGGUGGCCCACGACGGGGAUGGUUGCUGUUGUCCUCGCAUAAUCAGGGCACUGUUGGCACACCUGAGUGUUCACCAGCAGCUGGAAAUCCAGCACCAUUCACACAAAAAACUCUCUCACAGUAUGGGACAAAUCCCUAUUCUGGGGGAUAGUGCCUGCCCACGAGGGCUCAAUUCCUGGAGGGGCAGGAGGUGUGGGACCACAGAGAAAAUACGUCACACCCAGAAAGGGCCCUGGGAGCUGCAGGGGAGCCCUGAGACCUUGGAAGGCCAAGGGCGUGUAGAGAGGCCCCGAAGUAGGAGGGCUUGGCAGGUGGAGACCCCGUCCUGAGAGUAUUCUUUCCUUUGUGCCAUGUGGGAGCUCCUGCAGUGUGGUUCAUCAUUCCCAUCCUUUUUUUUUUU
rnacentral:lncRNA from 1 species